rnacentral:sRNA from 1 species
GCUGGGUGUGGUGGCACAUGCCUUUAAUCCCAGCACUUGGGAGGCAGAGGCAGGUGGAUCUUUGUGAGUUCAAGGCCAGCCUGGUCUACAUAGUGAGUUCUAGGACAGCUGGGGCUACAGGGAGACCCUGUCUCAAAGAGACAUAAAAAAGAAAAAAAAAAAAAAGACUAAUCUCACUAUGUAGUCCUGGCUGGCCUAGAACUCACUAUGUAGACCUGGCUGGCCUAGAACUCAUAGAGAUCUACCUGUAUCA